UACGGAGGGAGCUAGCGUUGUUCGGAAAUACUGGGCGUAAAGCGCACGUAGGCGGCGCCGCAAGUCAGGGGUGAAAUCCCGGGGCUCAACCCCGGAACUGCCUCUGAAACUGCAGUGCUAGAAUCUUGGAGAGGUCAGUGGAAUUCCGAGUGUAGAGGUGAAAUUCGUAGAUAUUCGGAAGAACACCAGUGGCGAAGGCGACUGACUGGACAAGUAUUGACGCUGAGGUGCGAAAGCGUGGGGAGCAAACAGG
rnacentral:rRNA from 1 species